rnacentral:rRNA from 1 species
GGUUGCGAUCAUACCAGCACUAAUGCACCGGAUCCCAUCGAGAACUCCGCAGCACUAAUGCACCGGAUCCCAUCAGAACUCCGCAGUUAAGCGUGCUUGGGCGAGAGUAGUACUAGGAUGGGUGACCCCUGGGAAGUCCUCGUGUUGCAACCC